GGGGAAGGUCUCUGUUUCAUUAGCUUUCAAGUCUAUUUUAACAGGCAGACUCAAGGUUGAGCAUGAAAUGAUUAUGAUUUGUUUCCACUGCCUAGAGACACAGGAUUUGUCUGUGCAGUGGUCACAGCCACAGGAACAAGGUAUAUGGGCAGUAAAGGAUGCAGGAGGAACACCAGCUGCAGCUCAACAGUCCCACCAUAAACAAGGUCUUUUCAAGGAAGAACAUGAACAAUGAAAGAUCAAAAGAAACAGAUCAAUGAAAAUGAACGAAGACCAUGGACUAACACUAUUUUG
rnacentral:lncRNA from 1 species